AUCCAUGACUCCAUGGGGGCUGCCGCCCGUGGCUGUCCCCCUUCCUAGGCAUGGAAGAGCAGUUCCUUGCUAAUUGGCAAAACCUUUAUCCUUUUGUGGGUAUCGGUCGUUGACUGUAGCAAGUAACAGGC
rnacentral:snoRNA from 1 species